AAGAAAGUUGCCAAAACUCCUCACGAGAUGUGGACUGGUAAAGUACCUAAACUAGACCACAUCAAGAUUUGGGGUUGCGAGGCUUUCGUGAGACGCGAGACUCAUGAUAAGCUCGAACCUCGAAGCGAGAGGUGUAUUUUCAUCGGUUACCCACAGCGAUCCUUUGGUUACCUCUUCUACAGACCUAGUGACAAUGUGGUCUUUGUAGCAAGAAGAGGAGUCUUUCGAGAAAGAGAGUUUAUAAGCCAAGGAGACAGUGGGAGGCAAAUUGAUCUUGAAGAAAUUCAAGAAUCAAGCGGUGAAGGAACUUCAAACUCUAGCCCUCAACUUGAGGAGGAAACUCCUGUUGAGCCAAUUGACAAAUCUGUACCUCUGAGACGUUCCACGAGAGUUAGGAGUGCACCUGAGCAUUACUAUGGAUUCCAUAUUACUGCAGAAGGUGAGACACUUAUUAGUGAUGAGACACUAGUAAGUCAAGAUGACCCUAACAGCUACGAGGAAGCCAUGGCAGGCCCCGAGUCUGCUAAAUGGAAAGAGGCUAUGGAUAGCGAGAUACAAUCCAUGUAUGACAAUCAAGUUUGGAACUUGGUUGAAAAUGUACCAGGUCGUAAGACAGUAGGGUGCAAAUGGGUCUUCAAGAAGAAGACCGACAUGGAUGGUAAAGUACACACUUAUAAGGCUAGACUGGUUGCAAAGGGCUUCUCUCAAAUUCCUGGAGUGGAUUAUGAUGAGACCUUUUCUCCGGUAGCCAAGAUUAAGUCUAUUCGGGUUCUGUUAGCCAUAGCUGCAUUUCAUGACUAUGAAAUAUGGCAGAUGGAUGUCAAAACCGCUUUCCUUAAUGGAAAGUUGGCUGAAGAUGUUUACAUGAGUCAGCCAGAGGGUUUUGUCAGCAACGAGUACCCUAAUAGAGUGUGUAAGCUUGAGAAAUCCAUUUAUGGAUUGAAGCAAGCACCUCGCAGAUGGAAUCUUUGCUUUGAUGAAAAGGUCAAGGAAUUUGGCUUUUCUAGGAGUGAAGAUGAAUCUUGUGUGUAUGUCAAGGCUAGUGGGAGUAUAGUUAGCUUUUUGGUAUUGUAUGUGGAUGACAUACUACUCAUAGGAAACGACAUUCCAACCCUGCAGGAAGUAAAGUCCUGGCUUGGGAAGUGUUUCGCUAUGAAGGACCUUGGUGAAGCUGCCUAUAUUCUAGGGAUAAGAAUCUUGAGAGAUCGGAGUAAAAGACUAAUUGGACUUAGUCAGAGUACCUACUUGGAUAAGGUGCUGAAGAGAUUCAGCAUGCAGGAUUCCAAGAAAGGAGAGUUACCCAUCCAGAGUAACACCAGAUUGAGUAAGACACAAAGCCCUAGCACUGAGGCUGAGAUAGCAGAAAUGAGUCGAACACCUUACGCUUCGGCUGUAGGAUCGAUCAUGUAUGCUAUGACGUGUACUCGACCCGAUGUAGCUUUUGCCUUGAGCAUGGUUAGCAGGUAUCAGGCGAACCCUGGCAAGGCACACUGGACUGCGGUAAAGAAUAUCCUCAAGUACCUACGGAGGACUAAGGACUGGGUCCUUACCCUCGGUGGGAGUGAUGACUUGAGAGUUGUAGGGUAUAGUGAUGCUAGCUUCCAGACUGAUAGGGAUAAUUUCCGCUCUCAGUCGGGCUGGGUCUUUACCCUAAACGGAGGAGCAAUUUCUUGGAAGAGUUCCAAGCAAGAGACAGUGGCAGAUUCUACUUGUGAAUCAGAGUAUAUUGCAGCUAGUGAAGCAGCAAAGGAGGCGAUAUGGCUGAAGAACUUCAUUGGAGACCUUGGAGUUGUACCAGCUAUUAAAGAGCCAAUGGAAAUUUUCUGUGAUAGUGAAAGUGCUGUUGCCUUAGCCAAGGAACCAAGGGAUCAUGGGAGAUCCAGACACAUCGACAGAAAAUACCAUUUCAUUAGACAUCGGAUCGAAGAAGGACUCCUCGUGGCAAAGAGGGUAUCAUCGGAUGAGAACCCAGCAGAUCCCCUCACGAAGGGACUGAGUAGGGUUAAGCAUCUCCAGCAUGCUCGGAGCAUAGGGCUGAAGGAUGAUAUAAGUUUUAGUAGUUAGAUAACCCAGAAAUUUGUAAAGUGUAAUUGACAUUUGAUGAUGAAUAAAAGGUGUUUUAUUUAUGAGUAAAGUGUUGCUAUCUCUUGUCGAUCGUUUACUAUAUUUCUUUUGCAUGUUUUGACUUCCAGAAUAAUUUUGUUUGGUAUAACAUAUUAUUCAAACCUCCACAGUCGGUCAUAUGUUGGAAGUAGAUAUGAAUCAAGACUGUCAUGUUUGGUUGUAGAGGUCUUGGACAAGGCUACAACAAUCAUGAGUGCUCAUAAGUUCUGAGCAUUGGACUCAACCCACGCUCACUGGAAUCACUUCAUGGAAUUCUAUCUCGAGUGAUCGUGAGACGGUAAUAUCAUAUAAGUCUUCAAACCUAGAGAUAUGAUUUGUUACUUACAAGUUGGUUAUGCAUUGACUGUACGAAACCGCAUUGGUAACUCGAUGUUAUAAAACGUACUUUUGUGUGUAAUUCAAUGAGUGGUAGAACAAACAUAUGAGUCGAAGUUUAUCUGUUCCUUCUUGGAUUAGAAGCUGAUAUCUGGGCCCCUCGAUGAUUUUGUUUUGACCCAUGUACCGGGCCCGGUCAGAACUAAGUUGAUGUGUUCAAUUAAGUUCUAUGUCAAACAAAUCGGAAAUCGGGAAACAAAUGCUGGACAAUAAGCAAGACAAUGUUCCAUGUAUUUGUCCGGCUGAUAUCUAGAACGGAGGAUUAUAUGAUCACUUAUCUUAAAUGGCGUACCAUCAUCUUCUCAGUUCCGAGAGACCUUGAAAGAGCUACGAUUGCCGGUCGGUUCCUGAAGUACUAGAGAUAUAGUUAUUAGACUUAUCCAAGUGGGAGACUGUUGGAUAAGGUGUCUAAGUCCAUAACUAUUUCGGGCUUGUACUUGACCCGACCCGGCAUGGUCCAUUUGGGUUGCAUGGCACCAUGCAAUUGGAUAGACUAAAUGAGAGAAAUAACACUUGGAGAUUAUUAAUAUAUUAUAAGUUCUAAUAUAUUAAUAAUAUUAUUUGAUUAGUUGAUCAAAGAAUUAAUUUGGAAUUAAUUAAGUGAUCAAAGGAUAACUAAUUAAAUAUAUGGGUUGAUUAUGUAAAUCAUCCAUAUCUUGUAUAGUGGGCUAAGAGGCUCCAUGGAUUAUCAAGUUGGGUUCUACCCAUAGGAUGCUCCAUGGAUGCUCCAUGGGAGUUACAAACCCAUGGGUCAUGGAAAUGAAGAGUCAUGACACAUUAGGGUUUACAUGGUGUAACCCUAGAUGUGCCAACACUAUAUAAGAGUCCCAUUCUCCACAAAAUUGGCUACACAAGUUGAACACUAAGAAACUAGAGGGCUUGGCCGAUUUUGAGAAGUGUGUGUUAUCUCAAGAGUCUUUCCAAGAGCAUUUGGUGUUGUGUGAAGCAUUUGAGGCAUCACACUUGGGGUGCUAGGCUCACAAGGUUUCAAGGAACACAAGCAACAACAAGGUAAGUUAUUCUAUCUAUGAUUCAAGUUAAAAUUGUUCCCCAUGUAUGCUAGAUAGGAAUAUAACCUUGGAAUUCAACUUUGCAUGAUAAUUAGACAAACAUAGAUCCAAGGUUAUUAGGGUUGCAUGUACACUUAGGAAGUGUUAGAAUGCUCAAAACCCAUCAGUGGUAUCAGAGCCUAGGCUUGUUUGUUUGUUAUUUGUGCUUAAAAGUUGAAGAAAGUCGAAAAUUCUGCUGUCUGACUGAUGGACUCGGCGAGUCCAUGGGGAGGACUCGUCGAGUUCAUGUGUAUCUUCAACCUACUCGGCGAGUAGGUUUAUGCACUCGGCGAGUAGGGUCGACAGAGUGCAGAAUUUCGACUUGAGUUGCUGGAAAUGGAUUAGAAUCAUUACCCUAAAAUGUUUUGGUACUUGAAAACUUAUUUUAGAAGGUGUAAUGUCUUUUCUAACUCAUUUACAACAACUAGUUAUCAAAAUUACAAAGAUUAAAUGUGAUUUUGAUUCUUGAAAGUGUUCAUAUUCAUAUUCUUGUUCUUAUGAUGUUUAGAUGAUCAUAGGAAUUAUUUGUAACCUAUGUGGUAGAUUAAUUCAUGAUCAUAAUGUGUUUUAAUGGAGUCCAUAACUUGUCCUCAAGUUAUGGAAAACCAAAAGUCUCUUGGAUUAAAAACCAUUAAAAGAACACAAGAGUUAGGAAAAAUGAAAAGUCCUCAUUUUAUUACUCUAUUAAACUCAUAAGUUACAAGAAAUGAAAAGUUUUGAAAGUUUACAAAACUUGCCCUCAAGUUUUGGAACAAGUAAAGUUAAGUUAAAACUUUAGUUCCAACCCCUAGAAUUUUAAAAGUUAAAAUUCAACCCUUAUACUUAUAUUAUUAUGAUUUAAUAAUUAUAUAUAUAUGUAUAAGAACAAAGUCGUCUUACCGCUAGUACGCCUCAUUCACGAAGCCGGUCUAUAAGGUGGGUAUAAGGUUGUUGCCUAUAAAAUGGUGACUUAAUGGGUGUCCACUCUCACCCACCGCUUGCUUGAUCGGUGGAGGGUCGUUAGCCGAACGGGUAAGACAAGGACUUAUUAAUUCUCAUUCAAAGUAUGAUGAAUAUUAUAAAGUAACUAAAUGUUUUAUUAAAUUCCCAAUCUUAGUUACUUUAGGAAAAAUGUGAAUAAGGUGCUAUUCCAUGAAAUUACACUUUACACUUUGAUUAAGUCGUUGGUGGAGCGUGUGUGGUUAACCGGCACACUAACUUGGACUUAACAAGGUAGGUAAAGGGUGACUUAGGGUUUAUUAUAGUAUCGAUGGAGCGUGUGUGGUUAACCGGCACAUCGAUUGAGUGAUAAACUUUAAGGGUACCAAGUGAUUUGCAUGGUUACUUCACACCUCGUUUUGUGAUCCUCGGUAUCCCAGUCACAAAACUUGGAGGGCACACUCGAGAUUGAAACAUGCCUUUGAAAAGUUCAUUGAAUCUCAAAGAAUCUAGGAAUUUCUAAGAACCAUUCAAAAACCUAAUACUAAAAUAUUGCGGUUUUCGUGGUGGAAAUUGGUGAAUCGUCAUUCACCUACCUUUCAAAUAUGAUAUAGCUUAGAUUACGGCAUACCUCUUCUAAGUUAUAUUAUAUUGUGAUUGGAUCCUAGCCUUAAUAUUACAUUUGGGUGUUUUAUUAAGGACUCUCUUAUAUCUAAACUAAUCUUGUCCUCUUUCCUUCAGAUGUCUUUCAACAAUGCUUCUGGCUCUAAUCCUAAUGGCUCCUUUACCCUUAUGAACUUGUGUGGGAAAGUCACCUUUGAUGGAUCCAACUUCAAUGAGUGGAUCAGAAACAUCAGGAUGAUUACCCGCUACGAGGACAAAGAAUAUGUCCUUGACAAGGAGCUUAAGGAGAUUGAUGAGUCCACUGCAACUCCUCAGGAGAUCGCUGAAUUUCGGGCACAUGAAAGGGAUGCUACGAAAGUGGCUUGCAUCAUGAUGGCCACGAUGACAGCGGAACUCCAAAAGUCUUAUGAGGAUUUCUACCCUUAUGACAUGCACCAAGAUUUGAUGGAAAGAUACCAUCAAAGUGCAAGACAAGAGAGGUAUGAAAUCAUCUGCUCCAUGAUAACAACCAUGAUGAAGGACGGGGAAUCCGUCACGAGCCACAUGCAGAAAAUGCAAAGGUAUGUGGAUCGUUUGCUGAAGCUUAAUGUGAACUUCCCGGAGGAUCUUGCAAUAGAUAUUAUUUUGCAUUCCUUACCAUCGUGCUAUGAUCAAUUCCGCAUGACAUAUCACAUGAACAAGGAAGAAGUCACCCUCAGCAAACUUCAGGGACUUCUCAAGACCGCAGAAACAGGUCUUAAGGGGAAGUCGGUUGCUAUCACUCCUACUCAAAACUCUACUCCGGUUUUGGCAAUCGGGAAAAGUCGAGGGAGGAAGAGAAAGAGCUCUUCUAAGGGUACCAAGGCUCGGACCCUUGAUGGCUCUUCUUCAAGUGGAACCAAGAAAGGUUUCGUUACUCCUUCUUCUGACCCAAAAGAGGCUGAAUGCUUCUAUUGCCAUGAAAAAGCUCAUUGGAAGCGGAACUGCCCAAAAUACCAGCAAGAUGUGAAGGAUGGGAAAGUUAAACCCAACCAUGCAGGUAUUUACACUAUCAUUUCUAAUAACUCACCCCAUUCUAAUUCUUGGGUCCUUGAUACCGGGUGUGGUAUUCACAUUUGUUGUGACUUGCAGGGACUAAGAAGAAGUGAGGAUGUGGAGCAAGGAAGGAUAAACUUGAUCAUGGGGAAUAGGAAAGCUAUACCUGUUACCAAGAUUGGAGUUUAUACUUUAUCGCUAAGUAGUGGGUUUAGUUUAGAUUUGAAUAAGUGUUGUUAUUCGCCAGGAAUGGCAAGAAAUAUUAUUUCCUUUCAUGCUUUGUACAAACAAGGGUUUACCUUUUCAUUUAAUAAUGAAGUUGGUUCUAUAGAUGUUUUCUAUAAUAAUGUCUUUUAUUUUAAAGCAUUACCUUGUGAUGGUGUGUAUGAAGCUGUAUCUGUUGUAGAUAACUUGGGAAAUAAUGUUUUGUGUAUUGAUUCUACUAAUAAUAACUUGGAUAAAGCAUCUUUAUGGCAUUGUCGUCUUGGACAUAUAAGCAAGAAACGCAUAGGCCAACUCCAAAAGGAUGGAGUCUUGGAGUCGUUUGACCUAAAGUCAGAUGAUAGUUGCGAAUCAUGCUUACUUGGAAAAAUGACAAAGUCACCCUUCACAGGUUCGUGUGAGAGGGGUGAAGGUUUGUUGGACCUUAUACACACGGAUGUGUGUGGACCAUUCAAACAUGCCACAAGGGAUGCUAAUCGUUAUUAUUUGACUUUUACUGAUGAUUAUAGUAGAUAUGGAUAUGUCUACUUGAUCAAGCAUAAGUCAGAGACUUUCGAGAGGUUUAAGGAAUUUAAACAGGAAGUCGAGAAUCAAUUGGGCAGGAACAUUAAGAUGCUUCGAUCCGAUCGUGGUGGUGAGUAUCUUAGUUCAGAGUUCCUCGACUAUCUAAGGGAAUGUGGGAUAGUCUCACAAUUGACACCUCCCAGGACACCACAGUUGAAUGGUGUGGCUGAGAGGCGUAAUCGAACCUUGUUGGAUAUGGUUCGUUCCAUGAUGAGUCGAGCUACGCUACCAAUCUCAUUCUGGGGGUAUGCCUUAGAGACUGCCGCCCAUAUUCUUAAUCUAGUCCCUACAAAGAAAGUUGCCAAAACUCCUCACGAGAUGUGGACUGGUAAAGUACCUAAACUAGACCACAUCAAGAUUUGGGGUUGCGAGGCUUUCGUGAGACGCGAGACUCAUGAUAAGCUCGAACCUCGAAGCGAGAGGUGUAUUUUCAUCGGCUACCCACAGCAAUCCUUUGGUUACCUCUUCUACAGACCUAGUGAUAAUGUGGUCUUUGUAGCAAGAAGAGGAGUCUUUCGAGAGAGAGAAUUUAUAAGCCAAGGAGACAGUGGGAGGCAAAUUGAUCUUGAAGAAAUUCAAGAGUCAAGCGGUGAAGGAACUUCAAACACUAGCCCUCAACUUGAGGAGGAAACUCCUGUUGAGCCAGUUGAUGAGCCUGUACCUCUGAGGCGUUCCACGAGAGUUAGGAAUGCACCUGAGCAUUACUAUGGUUUCCAUAUUACUGCGGAAGGUGAGACACUUAUUAGUGAUGAGACACUAGUAGGUCUGGAUGAACCUAACAGCUACACGGAAGCCAUGGCAGGCCCUGAGGCUGCUAAAUGGAAAGAGGCCAUGGAUAGCGAGAUACAAUCCAUGUAUGACAAUCAAGUUUGGAACUUGGUUGAGAAUGUACCUGGUCGUAAGACUGUAGGGUGCAAAUGGAUCUUCAAGAAGAAGACCGACAUGGAUGGUAAUGUACACACUUAUAAGGCACGACUGGUUGCAAAAGGUUAUUCUCAAACUCCGGGAGUUGAUUAUGAUGAAACCUUUUCACCAGUGGC
rnacentral:lncRNA from 1 species